GGGGCCGUGCGGCCCACAGAGAGCACAGAGACCUCUGAAAAACAUCCUCAUCACUCAGCUCUGUGUAAGGGCUCCUUUCUGCUUCAGGGAACACUUAGCAUCACCUGAGAACGUCUUUAAACCUUUUUCCUGACAGUUGUUGUCCAAGCUGACAAAGUGUUGUGGAAUACAAACAGUUACAGGAGCGCCCCGUGAGUUCGGCCUGUAUUUUCUGCUGACUGUGGGACUCCCCGGCCCUUCCUUGUAAAGCGGUUGUGGACAAAGCCACUGAGUUUACUCUCUGGAGACCACUGCAAGCACAUAAGGAGCUACUCUAAAUCUGCUUGAAUACUCUGAGAGUUUUCAAAAUCCUGGGGAAAAAUCUGAGCAUGACAGAGAAGCCCUUUCCUGGCAAGAGAGGGCAGCAGUUGUGGGCUGAGAACCAAGUAAUUAUUUCCAGAAUGAAGAAGACUUUCUUCCUGUAAAGCUGUGUAUAAAUGAUGGAUAAACCUCACUGAAAUCAGUGCUCUGAGACUGCAGGCACAGCUAUUGAGGACAGCCCAGAUGCAAGCCAGGUCUCGUUUCCAAAGCAUAGAGUGAAUUAAAAGUUAAGCAUCAUCAGAGAGCUGAAGAUGAGUUGUAAGCAAAUUGGAUUGAAGGAGCUCUCCUUGCCCUUGUUUCAAAUUCCAGCAUCUGUUCAGUAACGUACAACCAAAAAGAAGAUCUGGAAAUCUGAAAAUAUGGAAGCAGAAUAACAAUCCAGCAAAGAAUGGAGGAUUCCCGCUGCCUCCCAAGAGUUCUAAAGUGACUUAAAGGAAAAGAUUCAUCAAGGAGGGGAAGCAACCAAGGUCAAAACAUCAGAAACACAGAAGCACUACAACUAGGCACCAUGAACAUUUGUGCAACUUUGAAAAAUGUCAGAAAUGGGGAGAAAAUAAGUUGUGUGUGACGAGACCUAGAAAAUCUGUUUGUUCCUGGUAGCUACUCCUUAGCAGCCAUCAGCUCUGCUGUUAAAACAAACAUCAAAGGUCUGAAAUUCCACAAUGACUUUUGAUGUCUACACAAGUUCAGUAGUUAAAGUUGAAGACUUGUCACAUGAGGAGUUUAUGCCAAUUAUAAAGCAUAAAAAAAGAAAUCACACACAUGCAGGCAUAUGUUCAUUAUUAAAACAACAAGUCCACCAACUCUCCUUCUCCGUUGAAUGCUUGGCCUAUUUUAUGAGAAAAUAAAAAUGAAAAAUAGCUCCAGUUUUCAAGGUAAAAUACUUGAAAGAAACAAAUAAAUGUCAGUAGUAGCUU